rnacentral:misc_RNA from 1 species
AAGAGACGUUGCCUUUUGGGGUAUACCUCCCACCCUUUGUUUAUUUAUACCUUUGUUGCUUUGGCAGACCCGGCUUUGGCCCACCGGCUCCGGCUGGUCAGCGUCUGCCAGAGGACCUAAAACUCUGUUUAUUAAUAUUGUCUGAGUACUAUAUAAUAGUUA